rnacentral:rRNA from 1 species
AUGGGAACGCGAAGAACCUUACCUAGACUUGACAUCUCCUGAAUAGUGUAGAGAUACAUGAAGCCCUUCGGGGCAGGAAGACAGGUGGUGCAUGGUUGUCGUCAGCUCGUGUCGUGAGAUGUUGGGUUAAGUCCCGCAGCGAGCGCAACCCUUAUUACUAGUUGCUACCAUUAAGUUGAGCACUCUAGUGAGACUGCCCGGGUUAACCGGGAGGAAGGCGGGGAUGACGUCAAAUCAUCAUGCCCCUUAUGUCUAGGGCAACACACGUGCUACAAUGGUGAGUACAGAUAGAUGCGAUACCGCAAGGUGGAGCCAAACUCUAAAACUCAUCCCAGUUCGGAUUGUAGGCUGCAACUCGCCUACAUGAAGUUGGAGUUGCUAGUAAUCGCGAAUCAGAAUGUCGCGGUGAAUACGUUCCCGGGUCUUGUACACACCG